CUUAGUAGUCAUAUGUAAAAAGCCUGACAAAGCAUAGCUAGCAAAGGACAAGAUGCUGAUUAACAAAGGUCAACUGACUCAGACUUCCUUGGAAUGGAAAUGAGGAAGGGAUUUCAGGAUGGACCUUCAGUAAGGAGGUGAUCACUGCAGCACACAGACUUUAAACUGUACUUGUGCAUCCUAGAAGAAAGGAGAGGAAAAAGUAAUAGAGACAUGAUUUUUUUUUUUUUUUCAUUAAUUAACCAUCUGGGAC
rnacentral:lncRNA from 1 species